CAAGUUAAACAAAUAAGUAAAUAAAUAUACAAAUAAUAAAAUUUAAUAAAACAAAUAAAAUAUAAAAGAAAGGGGUAGGCAGAUCCGAUCCUGAGGAUCAAAUUUUCAGCAGCAAUUGAUACGGCAUUAAAUGAAAUGUCAGAACAAUCAUCAAUUCUCCGACAAGAGAAUAUUUGGAGGAUCAUGUCAGACCACUUGCUACUCACAUAUACAUACCAGCAAGAACAUAUUGUUCAUCACUUUCACUACCCCACCUCGUACCAAACAAUACCCUCCUCCCAAAAUACUUCCAACAAAGCAGGAAGGCAAAGGAAGAGGACGUUCACAUCGUAGUGGAAAUUUCAGCAAAGUUUAUUCAUCACAUAUGAAGGGAAUUGUUCCAUGAGACUCUAAUCCGGAAAGAGGAAAUACUCAAGUGCGACACCUUUAUACGAUCAAUGUUGAGCAGCGAAGUGGUGGAGGAAGUGCUAUUGAGA